rnacentral:piRNA from 1 species
UUGGGUGAGAUGUGUAAACUCCUCAUGUGC